rnacentral:rRNA from 1 species
CCUACGGGAGGCAGCAGUGAGGAAUAUUGGUCAAUGGACGAGAGUCUGAACCAGCCAAGUAGCGUGAAGGAUGACUGCCCUAUGGGUUGUAAACUUCUUUUAUAUGGGAAUAAAAUGUUCCACGUGUGGGAUUUUGUAUGUACCAUAUGAAUAAGGAUCGGCUAACUCCGGGCCAGCAGCCGCGGUAAUACGGAGGAUCCGAGCGUUAUCCGGAUUUAUUGGGGUUAAAGGGAGCGUAGGUGGAUUGUUAAGUCAGUUGUGAAAGGUUGCGGCUCAACCGUAAAAUUGCAGUUGAAACUGGCAGUCUUGAGUACAGUAGAGGUGGGCGGAAUGCGUGGUGUAGCGGUGAAAUGCUUAGAUAUCACGAAGAACUCCGAUUGCGAAGGCAGCUCACUGGACUGCAACUGACACUGAGGCUCGAAAGUGUGGGUAUCAAACAGGAUUAGAUACCCCAGUAGUC